rnacentral:rRNA from 1 species
GGCCCGCAUUCAGUCGUGGCCCGGCAGGCGUCAGGGAUGCCGCUCUCCAGAUUGGGACGGUGGCCUGGCUGCCAGUUGGGUUGCGGUGCAUUUGCGGGUGGAGUGCGCCGAGGCGCUCGGCUCAGCUGCAUGAUCUCGGCCUUGAGGCCAGCCCCUCACGGGGUCUGGUACCCGGGUCGGGGGAGUGCUGUUUGGGCUGGGUGUUCAGUGUUGGGCAAUGGUUUCGGGCCCGGGUGGGUGCCGAGCUGGUUGUCGGCGGCGGUCGCGUGCGACACGUGCCAGCGGUCAGUUCGGUCCUGCUCGAGCUCACACGUGCCUGGCCUCGGUGUAAAAGCCGGUCAUCUGUCCGACCCGUCUUGAAACACGGACCAAGGAGUUUAGCGUGUGCGCGAGUCAUUGGGCGUUGAAAACCCAAAGGCGCAAUGAAAGUGAAGGUCUGCCUCGCGCAGCUGAUGUGUGAUCCUGGCCACUGCGGUGCGUCCGGGCGCAACAUAGUCCCGUUCCGAUUGCUUGCAAUGGGGCGGAGACAGAGCGUACGCGCUGAGACCCGAAAGAUGGUGAACUAUUCCUGAGCAGGAGGAAGCCAGA